CAGUGAACAUGUCCUAAAGUUUUUGUACAACGAGGAAAUUCUGCAUGUCCAUCCAGGCGUAGAUGAAAAGAAAGUUGUACAAAGUCACUGUAGGUACAUGUAGUCAACUCUAGUUACGCAGUAUCUGCUUGUACUGUGAAUGCCCAUUGGAUAACUUCAUAUGACAUCAUUUUGAAACAACCUCUGCACCUCUGUUGUAUAUAAAUGUAUGCUGUGUAUGUAAAACAUAUGUAAAGUGUUGGUGGCUUAAAAAUCUGAAGACAUCAAUGGAACACAAAAACCAUGGUGCAUAAGAUAUGUCCAAUAAAUCCUUUAA